GAAGGAUUGUGGGAAGGAUCAGUGAGCGGUAUGCAAAGUGAAUUCAAAGAAAUUAUAAAAAUUGAAUAUUUAUCAAUCUCAGCUGCAGAGAAGAGUGGCAUAAAGUGUAUAGGACUGGAGUGUACUCAGUGUGUUUACUGAGAUGGCACACUGUUUAGCAUGCUAGAGACUGCCAUUUUAAACUAGUAUGCAUCUUCCUCAGAUUUAUCUGAGAUUAUGAAUCUAUUUAGGACUAUUGUGUUUUGACUGCUCUGGUUGGCUUAUAUAUUUUAUUAUCUCUUCACAUAGAAUUGUUGAUUUCAAAGAUAGCAGUGAGGGUCUAAUGGAAAUCUGCCAUGCAGACCAUCUAAGUCACUUACUCUUCAAUCUUGCUUCAAUUUAACGAGCAUCAGUCAAGCCAAGAUCUCAGCUAUCAGUAGCUUUUCUUUAAGGGGCAGGCCCUGAGGAGCAUCCUUCCCGGAGUCUGCACAGUAUUGGGAAGUUCCUGUCUCCAGCUUCCUGCCCGGACUUCCCUGGAUGGUACCUUCCCUGCAAGCUCCAAAAAGAAGUAAAUCCUUUCUUCCACAAGAUAGAGCUUUGGUCAUGGUGAUUUAUCACAGGAGUGCAGACCCUAGAUUCCAGUUCUUUCUCUUGGCAACAGACAGAGAUCAUUCCAGAAAACAACAAGCCUUCGAACUGCAGAGUUGCCGAGCCCAGGCACAAUGGAGAUCUCCAACACAGCUGCAUCUAAGGCUCAGGGAAUAUUUUGGAAGAGGGGUCAGAAGCAGUCUAAGAACUAGAGGAUCAAGGAAUGAGAUGCAAUGCUGUGUCUCCUAAGACUGCCAGAAGCAACCUGCAAAGUCUCAGCAACACGACUGCCCAAACAUGAGCUGGACAAGGAAGAGUAGACAUGCCAGAUAUGGGCAGAGGGAAAGCCCAUAGGGCCUCAACCUUAUCUCCAAAGAACAAGGGCAAACUAAGGAGGGCUGAGAGCUAGAGAGAUAGGCUUCCCCAGGAAGGAGCACAACAGUUGUUUAUCUCCUACCAGAGGCUAGUCCUGGAAACACGCAUCCAGGUCACACCAUGAAGCUUGAGCUGAUUAUAUGUAGAAAUCUAUAUGCAUGUACAUGAAUACAUUGGUAGAGGAAAUAACAAUUGAUGAAGAACGGGGUUAUUUGAAAGAGAGCAAGGAAGGGUAUAUGUGAGUCUUUGGGGUAGAAGAGGAACUAGAUAACAGAUGUAGUAAUAAUCACAAAAAAGAAAAGAAAUCUUUUAGUUGCCCUCUGAAUUUAGCAAGAUUCUGUAUGGCUGUUGGCUAUGUCCUGAGUUUUGGUUGACCCCUUUCCACAACCCCAUCACCCCAAGCACCAUCCCUCUGUAAGGCUUUCUAUGCCCGGUAUCCUAGAAAGUCCAUGUUCACAUCUCAUGCGUCUUACAGUCCCCCACCUCUGGACCUCCUCUGGAAGCUCCUUUCUCCCUCCAUGACUUCUACAGACACUGACUCCUAUUCAAACAUAGAAAGGUAGAACUAUGCAGCUGGUGCCCACAUGUGAGAGCACAUAGGUGGCUUCUGUGGCUGUUUGACCAAGAUAAGAAAAAGGAACAUAGGAGAGGAGCAGCCAUCCUCAUUGACAAAUAGUCCUGGGGAGAACUGGAUAUACACAUGCAGAAGGCUAAAACCAGACCCCUAACUUUAGACUGAAGAAAAUUGGUUCUAAAAGGAGGUAAGACCUGAAAUGCUGAGGGUCUCAGGAAAAUGCAGGGAUCAUUUCUCAAGAGAAGCAGAUAGACAAGAUUCUUGUUUUCUUCUGUAAGACCCCCUUUCGGGGACCCCCACUCUAGUCUCGGGAGUGAGAGAGCACCCAAAGAAACACGAGAAUCCAUUGCCAUAAUCACAUGAGGCAGUUUAAAGACUGAGCUCCGGACCGACAUGCAUCUCACACAGGAGAUAACGGAUGUCCAUCACAAGGCUUGAAAGCUAGGGGUUUUUAUGGGGUGAGGAGCUUAGGGGUGUGGAAUUCAGCAUAGCAACACACUAGACACACUAUUGGCUUAUUCAAACAUNNNNNNNNNNNNNNNNNNNNNNNNNGGUGCCGCUUUCUGGCUUGCUCAAACUGCUUUNNNNNNNNNNNGUUGACCCAGACAAGAUAGCCCUGCUUGUCCUUGUAUUUUUUCAUUUUUACAGUCAAGCUGUUCUUAGGAACGUCUUAACAACAGCCCUGUCUGUUCUGCUUUGUUCUCCGCCCCAGGCCGUGGGCUCAUAGACAACUCUUUAACAUGAAUCACACGUUACAAAAUCUCAUUUUCCUUCACUUCAAAGGUUCAACAACUCCGGAAAUGGUCUCCGUACUUGUCAGGUGGGGUCCUCAUGAAUUACCAACUUCCUUCACCAUAAACAGGAAUAAAUUGGCAGAGUGAAGAGACAAAAUCCAAAAGGGGUGAACAAAAAACCUUGUUACACAAGUCAUACAGAAACUUAAUGAAAUAUAUAGAUAAUUCAGACAAGUACAGUAGAACCAAACAACUCAGACGUGAGUAAACAAAACACAUUUCUCCUGGGGCAUAAGAUAUGGAGUGCACAUAAACAGAAGGGAGACUGAUGAGGUGGAAUAGGUAGGGGGGGGGGAGAGAAUUUGUGUGAGAGGCAAAGGGAGUACAUGAGGCCUGAAAAUGGGUAAGGUCUGCUUUGUAUUUGAAAGUGAAGUGCAUCAGACCCACUGACGUUAGCACCCUGUGUGGACUGCUUACAAGUGGGUGCAUCGGGCUGGAGACAUGGCUCAGAGGUUAAGAGCACUCUCUUCUAUGACAUUGGACCAGGUUCUGAUCCCAGUACCACGUGAGCACAGCUCACAACCAUCUAUAACUCCAGUUCCAAAGGAUCUGACUUCCUCUUCGGGCCGCCAAUGCCACAGGCACUCUUGAAAUGCACAUGCAUGCAUGCAGGCAGGCAGGCAAAGAGUUAUACACACAAAAAUAAAACUGAGUCCGUCAUUUAACAGU
ensembl:lincRNA Gm14827 predicted gene 14827